rnacentral:rRNA from 1 species
CCUACGGGCGGCAGCAGUAGGGAAUAUUGCUCAAUGGGGGAAACCCUGAAGCAGCAACGCCGCGUGGAGGAUGAAGGUUUUCGGAUUGUAAACCCCUUUUGUUAGAGAAGAUAAUGACGGUAUCUAACGAAUAAGCACCGGCUAACUCCGUGCCAGCAGCCGCGGUAAUACGGAGGGUGCAAGCGUUACUCGGAAUCACUGGGCGUAAAGAGCGCGUAGGCGGGAUAGCAAGUCAGAUGUGAAAUCCUUUGGGUUAAACAUAGAACUGCAUUUGAAACUGUUAGUCUAGAGUAUGGGAGAGGUAGGUGGAAUUCUUGGUGUAGGGGUAAAAUGCGUAGAGAUCAAGAAGAAUACUGAUUGCGAAGGCGACCUGCUAGAGCAUAACUGACGCUGAUGCGCGAAAGCGUGGGGAGCAAACAGGAUUAGAUACCCGAGUAGUC